rnacentral:rRNA from 1 species
GAUGAACGCUAGCUACAGGCUUAACACAUGCAAGUCGCAGGGUAACAUGAGGACAGCUUGCUUUCCUUGAUGACGACUGGCGCACGGGUGAGUAACGCGUAUCCAACCUUCCCAUAACUACGGGAUAACCCGUUGAAAGACGGCCUAAUACCGUAUGAUAUCGUUUGCUGACAUCAAAUAACGAUUAAAGGUUUAGCGGUUAUGGAUGGGGAUGCGUCUGAUUAGCUUGUUGGCGGGGUAACGGCCCACCAAGGCGACGAUCAGUAGGGGUUCUGAGAGGAAGGUCCCCCACAUUGGAACUGAGACACGGUCCAAACUCCUACGAGAGGCAGCAGUGAGGAAUAUUGGUCAAUGGGCGAGAGCCUGAACCAGCCAAGUAGCGUGCAGGACGACGGCCCUAUGGGUUGUAAACUGCUUUUAUGUGGGGAUAAAGUGCGUGACGUGUCAUGCAUUGCAGGUACCACAUGAAUAAGGACCGGCUAAUUCCGUG